rnacentral:rRNA from 1 species
CCUACGGGGGGCAGCAGUGGGGAAUAUUGGACAAUGGGGGAAACCCUGAUCCAGCGACGCCGCGUGGGUGAAGAAGGCCUGCGGGUUGUAAAGCCCUUUCGGUAGGGACGAAAGCUCUUGGUUUAAUACGCCAGGAGGUUGACUUAACCUACAUAAGAAGCACCGGCUAACUCUGUGCCAGCAGCCGCGGUAAUACAGAGGGUGCGAGCGUUAAUCGGAAUUACUGGGCGUAAAGCGCACGUAGUCGGCAUUGCAAGUCGGGUGUGAAAUCCCCGGGCUC